rnacentral:rRNA from 1 species
ACGCUCGACACGAGGCAGCAGUGGGGAAUAUUGCACAAUGGGGGAAACCCUGAUGCAGCAACGCCGCGUGAAGGAAGACGGUUUUCGGAUUGUAAACUUCUGUUCUUAGUGAAGAUAGUGACGGUAGCUAAGGAGCAAGCCACGGCUAACUACGUGCCAGCAGCCGCAGUAAUCUGAGCGGGCUGGCAAGGC